GACGAACGCUGGCGGCGUGCCUAAUACAUGCAAGUCGAACGCAGUGGGGACUGGUGAGUAACACGUGGGUAACCUCCCAUCAGAGGGGAUACCCCUUGGAAACAGGUGCUAAACCGAUACUGAUGGAUGGACGGGCGGUGCAUUAGCUAGUUGGUGGGGUAACGGCUCACCAAGGCGACGAUCCAUAACUGGUCUGAGAGGAUGAUCGGUCACACUGGAACUGAGACACGGUCCAGACUCCUACGGGAGGCAGCAGUAGGGAAUAUUCGACAAUGGGCGAAAGUCUGACCGAGCAACGCCGCGUGAGUGAAGAAGGUCUUCGGAUUGUAAAGCUCUGUUGUUAGAGAAGCGGUAUCUAACGAGAAAGCCCCGGCUAACUACGUGCCAGCAGCCGCGGUAAUUC
rnacentral:rRNA from 1 species